rnacentral:rRNA from 1 species
AACGAACGCUGGCGGCAGGCUUAACACAUGCAAGUCGAACGCCCCGCAAGGGGAGUGGCGCACGGGUGAGUAACGCGUGGGAAUAUGCCCUUCGGUUCGGAAUAACACAGGGAAACUUGUGCUAAUACCGGAUACGAUCUACGGAUGAAAGAUUUAUCGCCGAGGGAGUAGCCCGCGUAGGAUUAGCUAGUUGGUGAGGUAAUGGCUCACCAAGGCGACGAUCCUUAGCUGGUCUGAGAGGAUGAUCAGCCACACUGGGACUGAGACACGGCCCAGACUCCUACGGGAGGCAGCAGUGGGGAAUAUUGGACAAUGGGCGAAAGCCUGAUCCAGCCAUGCCGCGUGAGUGAUGAAGGCCUUAGGGUUGUAAAGCUCUUUCGCCAGGGAAGAUAAUGACGGUACCUGGAAAAGAAGCCUCGGCUAACUCUGUGCCAGCCGCCGCCGUAAAAC